rnacentral:rRNA from 1 species
AUCCCCUCUCUCCCAGAUCUCGUCGGCGCUGGAGCCACACAUCCCGUCCAUGGCCAGCGAAGGAAGGCUAGCGGAGGCCCCAUCGGUGGUGGAGCCAUGGAUCCCAUCGGGGUUGGGCUCGACCGCCCGUAGGAGCAAAACCGCCCCGACCCGCCUCGUUUCCGCGCCUGAGGAGCAGGGAGCAACCCCAAAGCCACCAUGUCACUGUCCAUGGAGGUCCAUCUCUCGAUCCGUUCACCGCCGUCGCGAGCUCUGUUCGAUCUGGCGCUGCAAUGUGUGAGGCAUGAACUACAGCGCCUGUGUCCCCGUUGACCCUCGUCCACGCUAACGCGGGCCAGCCUCCACCGACGCCUCCCUCUGGCCCAGAUCCACAGCGCCCCGAGGGAGGCACAGAUCUCUCGUCGGUGGCCAAUGUAUGCGGUAGCCGAGGACGCACGGUGGGGAGAGAUGGUUUGGAG